CGGGCUCCAGCAUCAUCUGAUGUUGGAGCCACUAACGUUAGAUAUGCGAAACGAUGCCCACUACGUUGUGUUACUUGGCGUGCAAAAUAAGACUUGUCUUCGCUAUCUGUAGGGACAGACAGCUUCCUCUGAGAAACGCAGGGGUCAAGUGCCUAAUUUAAGUCCAGUAGCGAUAAGAGUCUUCUGCAUGUGCACAAGUUCUCUCCACCUCACUGAUGGUUUUUGGGGUGUUUGCGGACAGAAUGAGGGGUCCACCGUGGUCUCGGAUCACCACGUCAUCCUCAAUUCGCACCCCAAGACCCCUGAAUCGCUCAGGACAGGACCUGUUGUCCUCGCUGAUGUACAGUCCUGGAUUAUGGGAAGAAGAAAUAAGAGUUUAG
rnacentral:lncRNA from 1 species